rnacentral:rRNA from 1 species
CCUUACCUACCCUUGACAUGGUCGGAACCCUGCUGAAAGGUGGGGGUGCUGAAAGAGAACCGAUACACAGGUGUGCAUGGCUGUGUCAGCUCGUGUCGUGAGAUGUUGGGUUAAGUCCCGCAACGAGCGCAACCCUUUCCUUAGUUGCUAAGCAAGAGCACUCUAAGGAGACUGCCGGUGACAAACCGGAGGAAGGUGGGGAUGACGUCAAGUCCUCAUGGCCCUUAUGGGUAGGGCUUCACACGUCAUACAAUGGUCGGAACAGAGGGCUGCCAACCCGUGAGGGGGAGCUAAUCCCAGAAAACCGAUCGUAGUCCGGAUAGUAGUCUGCAACUCGACUACGUGAAGCUGGAAUCGCUAGUAAUCGCGGAUCAGCAUGCCGCGGUGAAUACGUUCCCGGGUCUUGUACACACCGCCCGUCACACCAUGGGAG